rnacentral:rRNA from 1 species
CACGGGUGAGUAACACGUAUCCAACCUGCCGUCUACUCUUGGACAGCCUUCUGAAAGGAAGAUUAAUACAAGAUGGCAUCAUGAGUCCGCAUGUUCACAUGAUUAAAGGUAUUCCGGUAGACGAUGGGGAUGCGUUCCAUUAGAUAGUAGGCGGGGUAACGGCCUACCUAGUCUUCGAUGGAUAGGGGUUCUGAGAGGAAGGUCCCCCACAUUGGAACUGAGACACGGUCCAA